ACCGCGAUAGCUCAGUGGGUAGAGCAUCUGCCCGGUAUGCGGAGUGGGGUCGCCGGUUCGAUUCCGGCUCGCGGCG
rnacentral:tRNA from 1 species